AUGCAGGCGUGCGCUAGGGCGGCGGGGGAGAGGCUCCCGCUGGUUCGUGCCCCCGCCAGGCAACGGCUGGCUCAGAGCUUUGUUAAGGUCAGCAGACUACCUUCUUUGCAUGAGACAAAUCGUGUAGUCUCCUGCUCGGCGAGGGUGUCAGAAAAUAUUUCACACAAAAUAGAAGCCAGCACGGAUCAUAUUCUUCCAGCAUCGCAAGAUCAUGUCGUGAAAGCAAUCGACGCAAUUAAUGGGGGGCAAGUGAUUGCAGUGCCCACUGAUACAAUAUACGGGUUUGCUUGUGAUGCAUGUUCUGCAGAAGCAGUCAAUCGGAUAUAUGAAAUCAAAGGACGCAUACAUACACGCCCUUUGGCGAUCUGCGUUGCUGAUGUCCCAGAAAUAUCACGGUUUGCCGUAGUGGAUCACUUGCCCCAUGGUUUGCUUCAUAAUCUUCUUCCUGGGCCUGUCACUGUUGUUUUAAAGCGAGGUGAGAACAGUAUACUGGAGAGAUCACUUAAUCCUGGUCUGGACAGCAUUGGAGUACGUGUGCCAAAAUUGGAUUUCAUACGAUCCAUUGCUCGUGGUGCUGGAAGUGCACUUGCGCUUACAAGCGCCAACUUAAGUGGUCGUCCUAGUAGCGUCAGUGUCAAAGAUUUCGGGGAUCUAUGGCCACACUGUUCAUAUGUCUUUGAUGGUGGUAUACUUCCUUCUGGACGUGCUGGUUCAACAAUUGUUGACCUAAUAACACCAGGAGUCUACAAGAUAUUGAGAGAUGGAAGUUCGAGGGAGGAAACAAUGGCUGUGCUGGGAAAAUUUGGCUUUGUUGAAGCUUCAUAG
rnacentral:rRNA from 1 species